rnacentral:rRNA from 1 species
GACGAACGCUGGCGGCGUGCUUAACACAUGCAAGUCGAACGGAAAGGCCCUGCUUUUGUGGGGUGCUCGAGUGGCGAACGGGUGAGUAACACGUGAGUAACCUGCCCUUGACUUUGGGAUAACUUCAGGAAACUUGGGCUAAUACCGGAUAGGAGCUCCUGCUGCAUGGUGGGGGUUGGAAAGUUUCGGCGGUUGGGGAUGGACUCGCGUCUUAUCAGCUUGUUGGUGGGGUAGUGGCUUACCAAGGCUUUGACGGGUAGCCGGCCUGAGAGGGUGACCGGCCACAUUGGGACUGAGAUACGGCCCAGACUCCUACGGGAGGCAGCAGUGGGGAAUAUUGCACAAUGGGCGGAAGCCUGAUGCAGCAACGCCGCGUGCGGGAUGACGGCCUUCGGGUUGUAAACCGCUUUCGCCUGUGACGAAGCGUGAGUGACGGUAAUGGGUAAAGAAGCACCGGCUAACUACGUG